GACGAACGCUGGCGGCGCGCCUAGCACAUGCAAGUCGAGCGGAGUUAGUUUGUAGCUUGCUACAAACUAACUUAGCGGCGGACGGGUGAGUAACGCGUGGAUAACCUGCCUUUUACAGGGGGAUAACACAGGGAAACUUGUGCUAAUACCGCAUAACAUAUAGAAGUGGCAUCACUUUUAUAUCAAAGGAGCAAUUCGGUAGAAGAUGGAUCCGCGUCCGAUUAGCUAGUUGGCGGGGUAAAGGCCCACCAAGGCGACGAUCGGUAGCCGAACUGAGAGGUUGAACGGCCACAUUGGGGCUGAGACACGGCCCCGACUCCUACGGGAGGCAGCAGUGGGGAAUAUUGCGCAAUGGGGGAAACCCUGACGCAGCAACGCCGCGUGAAGGAUGAAGGCUUUCGGGUUGUAAACUUCUUUAGUCGGGGACGAAAGAAUGACGGUACCCGAAGAAUAAGCCACGGCUAACUACGUGCCAGCCGCCGCAGUAA
rnacentral:rRNA from 1 species